rnacentral:hammerhead_ribozyme from 1 species
AUCUAGCUGACGAGUCCUAAAUAGGACGAAAUAGAGCCUUGGAU